GUUCUAGUGGCGCAAUCGGCAGCGCACGGUACUUAUAAUGCAGUAUUCGUAUGAGUGAUGCCGGGGUUGUGAGUUCGAUCCUCACCUAGAACA
rnacentral:tRNA from 1 species